GACGAACGCUGGCGGCGUGCUUAACACAUGCAAGUCGAACGGAAAGGCCCUGCUUGCAGGGUACUCGAGUGGCGAACGGGUGAGUAACACGUGGGUGAUCUGCCCUGCACUUCGGGAUAAGCCUGGGAAACUGGGUCUAAUACCGGAUAGUAGCCAUUUUUAGUGGGAUGGUUGGAAAGUUUUUUCGGUGUAGGAUGAGCUCGCGGCCUAUCAGCUUGUUGGUGGGGUAAUGGCCUACCAAGGCGGCGACGGGUAGCCGGCCUGAGAGGGUGGACGGCCACAUUGGGACUGAGAUACGGCCCAGACUCCUACGGGAGGCAGCAGUGGGGAAUAUUGCACAAUGGGCGCAAGCCUGAUGCAGCGACGCCGCGUGGGGGAUGACGGCCUUCGGGUUGUAAACUCCUUUCGCUAGGGACGAAGCUUUUUGUGACGGUACCUAGAUAAGAAGCACCGGCUAACUACGUG
rnacentral:rRNA from 1 species